GGACCCGCACAAGUAGUGGAGCAUGUGGUUUAAUUCGAAGAUACGCGCAGAACCUUACCAACACUUGACAUGUUCGUCGCGACUUUAAGAGAUUAAAGUUUUCGGUUCGGCCGGACGAAACACAGGUGCUGCAUGGCUGUCGUCAGCUCGUGUCGUGAGAUGUUGGUUAAGUCCCGCAACGAGCGCAACCCUCACUUUUAGUUGCCAUCAUUAAGUUGGGCACUCUGAAAGAACUGCCAGUGAUAAGCUGGAGGAAGGUGGGGAUGACGUCAAGUCCUCAUGGCCCUUACGUGUUGGGCUACACACGUGCUACAAUGGUAUCUACAGUGGGUUAAUCCCCAAAAGAUGUCUCAG
rnacentral:rRNA from 1 species